rnacentral:rRNA from 1 species
UGGGGAAUAUUGCACAAUGGGCGAAAGCCUGAUGCAGCGACGCCGCGUGAGGGAUGACGGCCUUCGGGUUGUAAACCUCUUUCAGUAGGGACGAAGCGCAAGUGACGGUACCUGCAGAAGAAGCACCGGCUAACUACGUGCCAGCAGCCGCGGUAAUACGUAGGGUGCGAGCGUUGUCCGGAAUUACUGGGCGUAAAGAGCUCGUAGGCGGUUUGUCACGUCGUCUGUGAAAUCCUAGGGCUUAACCCUGGACGUGCAGGCGAUACGGGCUGACUUGAGUACUACAGGGGAGACUGGAAUUUCUGGUGUAGCGGUGGAAUGCACAGAUAUCAGGAAGAAUACCGAUGGCGAAGGCAGGUCUCUGGGUAGUAACUGACGCUGAGGAGCGAAAGCAUGGGUAGCGAACAGG